CUCUCCCCAGCAUCGCCGCCGCCCGAGCCACCGUCGGCGAAGCCAGGCGGCUGCAAGGACGGCGGCGGCAGGGCUCCCUCUCCCUCGCUCGUGGUCAAACCGUACGGGACGCCGGCAAGAGAGGAGCUCAGGCUUGGUGCCGGCGACGAGGAGAAGCGCCCGGCAGCGGCCAAAUCCGGCGCUGUGGAGGCCGGAUCCGGUCCUCCAUGGCAGGAUCUGCUCGGCGGCGGGGUUGGAAGAUGGGUCGGGGGCGGCGGCGACCUGGAGUGCUCGGCGGCAGGGUUUGCUGCUAUCCUCGCCCUCCGCAGCCGCUGUCCUCGCCGGCCCCUCAACGCCCUCCUCGCCCUCAUUUCCCUCCGUUACCGCUUCCUUGCCGGCGGCUCUAGGCCGCAACCUUCAGUGCCUCUCCCCUUCUGGGGCUUCCUUCCCCUAAAGGGCGUUGGCGGGCACUGUUCUAGCUGCAACAAGAAAAUGUUUGGAUUCUUGAAGGCUUCAUGCGGGUGGUCUAGUACUUCCAUAGCCUUUUGGUCACCACUUUCCCCUACCGGCAUGCUCGUGGCACUCUGCCCUUUGGCGCGGCGUUCUGGAUUCCAAGGCCGCUUGAGGAUUUGUUUGUUGUUGAUCUAG
rnacentral:lncRNA from 1 species